rnacentral:rRNA from 1 species
CCUACGGGAGGCAGCAGUGGGGAAUAUUGCACAAUGGGGGAAACCCUGAUGCAGCGACGCCGCGUGAGUGAAGAAGUCUCUCGUUACGUAAAGCUCUAUCAGCAGGGAAGAAAAUGCCGGUACCUGACUAAGCAGCCCCAGCUAACUACGUGCCAGCAGCCGCGGUAAUACGUAGGGGGCAAGCGUUAUCAGGAUUUACUGGGGUUAAAGGGGGCGUAGACGGGAGCACAAGGCUGGAGGGAAAUCCCGGGGCUUAACCCCGGAACUGCUUUGGAAACUGUGCGGCUGGAGUGCAGGAGGGGUAAGCGGAAUUCCUAGUGUAGCGGUGAAAUGCGUAGAUAUUAGGAGGAACACCGGUGGCGAAGGCGGCUUACUGGACUGUAACUGACGUUGAGGCUCGAAAGCGUGGGGAGCAAACAGGAUUAGAUACCCUAGUAGUC